ACUCCUACGGGAGGCAGCAGUGGGGAAUUUUCCGCAAUGGGCGAAAGCCUGACGGAGCAAGACCGCGUGCGGGAAGAAGGCCUGUGGGUUGUAAACCGCUUUUGAUAGGGAAGAAGUUCUGACGGUACCUAUCGAAUCAGCCUCGGCUAACUCCGUGCCAGCAGCCGCGGUAAU
rnacentral:rRNA from 1 species